AGCAACUAAAGCACAUCCAGGACCAAUAGUCCAUCUGAGUGACAGCCCGAAGGAUGAAGGCAAGUUGCUGAUAGGGUUUGAAAGUGGAACAAUAGUGCAGUGGGACCUCCGAGCCAAGAAGGUUGACUUCAGAAUCUACUACGAUGAAGCUAUCCAUUCUGUGAGCUGGCACCAUGAGGGGAAGCAGUUCAUGUGUAGCCACUCAGACGGCAGCCU